UUUCCGUAGGUGAACCUGCGGAAGGAUCAUUGUCGAAACCUGCCCGGCAGAACGACCCGCGAACGCGUGAAACAUAUCGGGGGGGCGCGAGCUCCCCUCGUCGGGAGCGCUGCGUUCGCGCGCGCUCUUCGGCCGAAAAAACGAACCUCGGCGCGAGCUGCGCCAAGGAACUCACAACGAAGCUCGGGCUGCCGACGCCCCGUUCGCGGGGCGUGCCGGCGGCGGCGGCGUCUUUAGCGUAAACAAAACGACUCUCGGCAACGGAUAUCUCGGCUCUCGCAUCGAUGAAGACGCAGC
rnacentral:misc_RNA from 1 species